AGAACCUGCUGCUACACAGUCUCCUUCAACUCAUGGCUCAAAAACAACAAGAACACCAAAUCAUGGUGCCACUCGCAGCCUCAUCUGUCUUACCCAUAAAGCACGUGGUGUUGUAAAUUACCUCACAAGAAACCUAUGUGACUAUGUCAUCUAUAGCUUUGUCAAGUACAAUGAUGCUG